CUCUGUCUCUGUGGUCACACAGUGUUCUCCAUGCAUCCCUCUGGGCUUCCCUCUUCUUAUAAGGACACUAGCUGUACUGGAUUAAGAGCCCACUCUACACUGACCUCAUUGUAGGUUAACUAAUUACAUAUGCAAUAGUCCUGCUUCCAAAUAAGGCCCCAUUGUGAGGUUCCAGGAAGGACCUCAGAAUCUUUGAGGGACACGAUUCUAUCCAGUGCAGGAUGCAGAGAGAAAGACAUCAACAAGACCCUGCCUCAAGGCACUUAUAGACAAAUGGCAGCUGGGAUGGAAUCAAGAGUCUGAAUUUUGAUCAUGCACUCCACUAUAGCUGUGAUGGUCCCACAAAGGACCGAGGGCCGUCCUUUGAGAAACACUGGCCCUGGGGUGAGGAGGGGCCUCACAAGGAAGUAGCCAUCAUGCUGAGACCUGAAGAAGCAUCCAGGCAGGCCAUCCAUGCAUGAAGAUGCACAUUAAGGAAAAGCAUGGACAACAGAAUGCCACACAGCAGGGAAAAUGGAGGAACUGGAUUUAUAUGUGGAGAGUGAAGAAGUGACUUUGCCCAAAGGGAGAUCUGGCCUAUGUCCUUGCUACUGGGAGUGAUCUCUAGGUUCCUGGAAUGUUCUUCCCUCUAGGAGUGUCCAGUGUUUGCAGUCUAAACAUGUGAUUCAUGACGAGGGCUUUGGUACAUGCCACAGCAGUCCCAACCUCUGGAGGAAUUGGAGAACAAAGAUACCAGCCUGACCUUGCAGGAGAGACAGGAGACCAAGGCCAGCUACACAGACAGAGCCCCCAUGAAAUCUUGACAUCGAUGGCUCUGGCAAGCAUCCGUGGCUGGCAACAUGCUGGAGUGUCCUCAUGCAUCCGACCUGGGAGGAGAUAACACCAGCCAGGCCUUUGUGGGGAUUGAUUAAUGGGACCAAAAGUUUCCUGGUGGGACCCCUCCUAGACCUGCCCUAGAUGUCCCUCUUUUUGUCUGGUUCUAAUUUGUGUCAUUUUACUGUAAUAAAACUGUAAUUAUAAAUAUAGCACUUUCCUGGGUUCUGAGAGUCACUCUUGUGAAUUAUCCAUCCUGAGGGGUUGUGGAAACCUCCAAUUUUGUAGCCAGACGACCAGAAAUGAGAGUGACCCUGCAGACCCCUGGAUGUGUGUCAGAAAUCUUGGCUGGCUUGGCCAUCUGGAGAGCUGAGCCCCUAACCCUGAGUUUGACUAAGUCCUCUGCAAUAUUUCAACCUGAGUGAGUCUCAGGAACACAGACUACAAGAAAGAAAUAAGUUUCACGAAAUUGUGAUACCACUUACACCAAUUUUAAAAAAGGAUAAAAGAUCCAUGUAUUGCUUUGUAUUGUAUAUAUUAACAUAUGUACAUAUAAUUCAUAUUCUAACACUCAACAUAUAUUUACAUAUGUGUAAAGUGCAUAGGUAAACACAUAUACAAUUUAUUCAUUUAUAUUUACAUACAAAGUUUUAAUAUGGGAUCAGAAUUAUACUCACCAAUUUCAUAAUAGUGGCUGCUUCUGGGGUCAGGAUAAGAAAGUCAAACGACAAGCUGUUAACAUUUGUUAAUUAUGGGUGAUGAUUAUUGGAUGUUUGCACUGAUAGCCUAUAUGAUUUUUGCUAUUUAAAGUUAAUACUUAUUAUAA